GGCAGCCUACACAUGCAAGUCGAGCGGUAGCACAGGAGAGCUUGCUCUCCGGGUGACGAGCGGCGGACGGGUGAGUAAUGUCUGGGAAACUGCCUGAUGGAGGGGGAUAACUACUGGAAACGGUAGCUAAUACCGCAUAACGUCUACGGACCAAAGUGGGGGACCUUCGGGCCUCNCGCCAUCAGAUGUGCCCAGAUGGGAUUAGCUAGUAGGUGGGGUAAUGGCUCACCUAGGCGACGAUCCCUAGCUGGUCUGAGAGGAUGACCAACCACCCUGGAACUGACACACGGUCCNGACUCCUACGGGAGGCAGGCUGGGGAAUAUAACACAAUGGGCGGAGGCCUGGUGCAGCCAUCCCNUGUGUGUGAAGUAGGCCUUGGGUU
rnacentral:rRNA from 1 species